GGCCAGACUCCUACGGGAGGCAGCAGUGGGGAAUAUUGGGCAAUGGGCGCAAGCCUGACCCAGCAACGCCGCGUGAAGGAAGAAGGCCCUCGGGUUGUAAACUUCUUUUAUCAGGGACGAAACAAAUGACGGUACCUGAUGAAUAAGCCACGGCUAACUACGUGCCAGCAGCCGCGGUAAUACGUAGGUGGCAAGCGUUAUCCGGAUUUACUGGGUGUAAAGGGCGUGUAGGCGGGUCUGCAAGUCAGAUGUGAAAUCUCAUGGCUCAACCAUGGAACUGCAUUUGAAGCUGUUUCCCUUGAGUGUCGGAGAGGUAAUCGGAAUUCCUUGUGUAGCGGUGAAAUGCGUAGAUAUAAGGAAGAACACCAGUGGCGAAGGCGGAUUACUGGACGAUAACUGACGGUGAGGCGCGAAAGCGUGGGGAGCAAACAGGAUUAGAUACCCCGGUA
rnacentral:rRNA from 1 species